rnacentral:rRNA from 1 species
UCCACCUACGGGACGCAGCAGUAGGGAAUAUUGCUCAAUGGGGGAAACCCUGAAGCAGCAACGCCGCGUGGAGGAUGAAGGUUCUCGGAUUGUAAACUCCUUUUGUUAGAGAAAAUAAUGACGGUAUCUAACGAAUAAGCACCGGCUACCUCCGUGCCAGCAGCCGCGGUAAUACGGAGGGUGCAAGCGUUAUUCGGAAUCACUGGGCGUAAAGAGCGCGUAGGCGGGAUAGCAAGUCAGAUGUGAAAUCCUAUGGCUUAACCAUAGAACUGCAUUUGAAACUGUUAUUCUAGAGUAUGGGAGAG